AUUUGAAUCUGGCGUUUGCCUGAGUUGUAAUUUGAAGAGGAUGUCUUUUGUUUUAACUUGAGAUUGAAGUCUUCUGGAACGUAGCAUCAUGGAGGGUAAUAAUCCCGUAUGUGAUUUCAAGUUUUAUAAGCAAUAUAAGACUCCUUCAAUGAGUCGAGUUGUUUGGGAAUGCAGCUCUAAAUGGGAGGUAAAUUUCUUCUAAAGCUAAAUAUAGGCUAGAGACCGAUAGUGAACAAGUAGAGUGAUCGAAAGAUGAAAAGAACUUUGGAAAGAGAGUUAAACAGUAUGUGAAAUUGUUGGAAGGGAAGCAUUUGCAAUCAGAUUUGUGUUGUUAAAAUUCACCUACACAUUCUAUGUGCUUAGAGCAUUUUUUUUCAACACUUGUCAACAUCAAUUUGAGCAGUGAUAUAAUCUUGGAUAAAAUGUGGCUCAUUGAGUGUUAUAGUUAUCCUUGCUAAUCACUUGCAUAAAUUGAGGCUUGCGGUUACCCAUGGAUGUUGACUUAAUGGUUGUAAGUGGCCCGUCUUGAAACACG
rnacentral:rRNA from 2 species